rnacentral:rRNA from 1 species
AUUGAACGCUGGCGGCAGGCCUAACACAUGCAAGUCGAGCGGAUGAAGGGAGCUUUCUCCUGGAUUCAGCGGCGGACGGGUGAGUAAUUCCUAGGAAUCUGCCUGGUAUUGGGGGAUAACGUCCGGAAACGGGCGCUAAUACCGCAUACGUCCUGAGGGAGAAAGUGGGGGAUCUUCGGACCUCACGCUAUCAGAUGAGCCUAGGUCGGAUUAGCUAGUUGGUGGGGUAAAGGCCUACCAAGGCGACGAUCCGUAACUGGUCUGAGAGGAUGAUCAGUCACACUGGAACUGAGACACGGUCCAGACUCCUACGGGAGGCAGCAGUAGGGAAUAUUGGGCAAUGGGCGAAAGCCUGAUCCAGCCAUGCCGCGUGUGUGAAGAAGGUCUUCGGAUUGUAAAGCACUUUAAGUUGGGAGGAAGGGCAGUGAGUUAAUACCUUGCUGUUUUGACGUUACCAACAGAAUAAGCACCGGCUAACUUCGUG